rnacentral:rRNA from 1 species
AAUGAACGUUGGCGGCGUGGAUUAGGCAUGCAAGUCGUGCGAUAACCCCGCAAGGGGGGAAAGCGGCGAAAGGGAGAGUAACGCGUGGGUACCUGCCCCUUGGUCCGGAAUAGCUGCGGGAAACUGCAGGUAAUGCCGGAUACCAUCCUCGGAUCAAAGGUGUGAUUCCGCCGAGGGAGGGGCCCGCGUUCUAUUAGCUAGUUGGUAGGGUAAUGGCCUACCAAGGCGACGAUGGAUACCGGGUGUGAGAGCAUGACCCGGCUCACUGGGACUGAGACACUGCCCAGACCCCUACGGGUGGCUGCAGUCGAGAAUCUUCGGCAAUGGGCGCAAGCCUGACCGAGCGACGCCGAGUGCGGGAUGAAGGCCUUCGGGUUGUAAACCGCUGUCGUAGAGGAGGAAAUGCCAUGGGGUUCUCUCCAUGGUUUGACCUAUUCUAGGAGGAAGGACGGGCUAAGUUCGUGCCAGCAGCCGCCGUAA